GCCAGCAUGGUGUAGGGGUCUGAACACUGGACUAUGACUCUAAAGACCAUGGUUCAAAUCCAAGCUUGGCC